rnacentral:rRNA from 1 species
GAUGAACGCUAGCGGGAGGCCUAACACAUGCAAGCCGAGCGGUAUUUGUUCUUCGGAACAGAGAGAGCGGCGCACGGGUGCGGAACACGUGUGCAACCUGCCUUUAUCUGGGGGAUAGCCUUUCGAAAGGAAGAUUAAUACCCCAUAAUAUAUUGAGUGGCAUCAUUUGAUAUUGAAAACUCCGGUGGAUAGAGAUGGGCACGCGCAAGAUUAGAUAGUUGGUGAGGUAACGGCUCACCAAGUCAAUGAUCUUUAGGGGGCCUGAGAGGGUGAUCCCCCAAACUGGUACUGAGACACGGACCAGACUCCUACGGGAGGCAGCAGUGAGGAAUAUUGGACAAUGGGUUAGCGCCUGAUCCAGCCAUCCCGCGUGAAGGACGACGGCCCUAUGGGUUGUAAACUUCUUUUGUAUAGGGAUAAACCUACUCUCGUGAGAGUAGCUGAAGGUACUAUACGAAUAAGCACCGGCUAACUCCGUG